rnacentral:rRNA from 1 species
UACGGGGGGGGGCAAGCGUUGUUCGGAAUUACUGGGCGUAAAGGGUUCGUAGGUGGCCAACUAAGUCAGACGUGAAAUCCCCUCAGCUUAACUGGGGAACUGCGUCUGAGACUGGAUGGCUUGAGUGCAGGAGAGGAACGCGGAAUUCCAGGUGUAGCGGUGAAAUGCGUAGAGAUCGGGAGGAACACCUGUGGCGAAGGCGGCCGUCUGGGCCGACCCUGACGCUGAGGCGCGAAGGCGUGGGGAGCGAACGGG